rnacentral:lncRNA from 1 species
GAUUACCAGCAGUAAUGCCAUGCCAGGGAUUCUGCAUAACUUGUUUUUCAGCAUUUGUUAGUUUCUCUGGUCAGCUAAUAUGUCAGAAGCCAAUCAUCCAUCUUGAAUUUCAGCAAUGAUCUUUUUAAAUCUUCACACUCCUUAAAAUGUGGAGAAUCGUAUUCUCAGAUUAAGGGGAAGGGGGGAAACUGAUUCCCUGCAAAAGUCAAGAAUACUUAUCCUUUAAAGUUCACUUCUGCAACUCUAGUUCAAUUAGUUUUGGACUGCACAUUAUCUGCCGAAUAGUCAUGUCAACGAAAAUUUUCCUAACACUGCAGGAAUGGAAUGCGCCUAAAUCUCUGCAUAGGCUAUACCAACUACUAUUAUUAGGCAGCAAAAUUGCAAAAAAUCUGCACAGUCUUGGACAAAGUCAACAUUCAUCCAAAAUCCAUGCCUAAGCAGUAUCAAAGCUGCUGAUGCAAGAACCAGUGGAGGCGUCACUACAGCUAGACCCUUCUUGAUGCUUGCUUGCCUGAGGCAGGUAUGAGUAAGCAACUGCUGAAAUCCCAAUGGCAAUUGAAACUCCAAUGCAACUCCAAAACCACCUUCUUCGGAUCUUUC